UACGUAGGGUGCGAGCGUUGUCCGGAAUUACUGGGCGUAAAGAGCUCGUAGGUGGUUUGUCGCGUUGUCCGUGAAAACUCACAACUCAAUUGUGGGCGUGCGGGCGAUACGGGCAGACUGGAGUACUGCAGGGGAGACUGGAAUUCCUGGUGUAGCAGUGAAAUGCGCAGAUAUCAGGAGGAACACCGGUGGCGAAGGCGGGUCUCUGGGCCGAUACUGACGCUGAGGAGCGAAAGCGUGGGGAGCGAACAGG
rnacentral:rRNA from 1 species